CGUGAGGAGAGUGGUCAGGAUUUUUUUAAAAUCUAAAGAAUAGACCCUUCACUAGUGAACCGGCGGAAGAAUCAUUUUUGUUCCUGGGGAACCAGGAAGGCCCCUGAGAAAGUUGGAAACAUUCCUUUUAGGGGGGCCGGAAAUAUUAUAUUUUUUCUUGGGGGUAAAAAUAUUCGGUAGGGGAUUUCCCCUAGGGGGGCCUGCGGAGGGAUCAUUACCGAGUUUACAACUCCCAAACCCAUGUGAACAUACCUACUGUUGCUUCGGCGGGAUUGCCCCGGGCGCCUCGUGUGCCCCGGAUCAGGCGCCCGCCUAGGAAACUUAACUCUUGUUUUAUUUUGGAAUCUUCUGAGUAGUUUUUACAAAUAAAUAAAAACUUUCAACAACGGAUCUCUUGGUUCUGGCAUCGAUGAAGAACGCAGCGAAAUGCGAUAAGUAAUGUGAAUUGCAGAAUUCAGUGAAUCAUCGAAUCUUUGAACGCACAUUGCGCCCGCCAGUAUUCUGGCGGGCAUGCCUGUCUGAGCGUCAUUUCAACCCUCAUGCCCCUAGGGCGUGGUGUUGGGGAUCGGCCAAAGCCCGCGAGGGACGGCCGGCCCCUAAAUCUAGUGGCGGACCCGUCGUGGCCUCCUUUGCGAAGUAGUGAUAUUCCGCAUCGGAGAGCGAUGAGCCCCUGCCGUUAAACCCCCAACUUCCAAGGUUGACCUCAGAUCAGGUAGAAACCCCA
rnacentral:rRNA from 1 species